ACCGCUCCGACCUUGGGCACGGCGCAGGACGACAUCCCUGAGCUGUGCAGAUGCUUCAUGCUGCUGAGCAUUGGAGCCAAGCAGAUGCACAUCAAUGAUGGCCCCAAAACCACCUCUUUUGCCAGCCAUAAAGUGCUCAAAGCCAAACCAUCGGAACUGGUGAGCCAAAGCGCGAGAUCCGUUGGUCCCAUACGUGACCCAUUCCAACAUGGGAGCCCUGAGCUGCGUGCCCAUCAGAGCCAGCUCAGCCAGGUGCAGUGGGCAAUGCAGAGUACUGUGAUGCCGAUCUUGGAGCCACCAGCAGCUACCAACAAAGCAGCAGCAAAUGGGCCAGCAGACCCAGUCAGCCCGCAUCCAUGUCCAGCUCAGCCCAGGAAGCGCAGGCAAUGUGCUGGGAGAGAGCACAACCGUGGCAGCCAGGCUGAGGACUCUGUGGACCAAUUCCAGGAGGAGUUUAGACCCAAGGCCAAGAAGAGCUGCAAAGCCUUGCCCAACUUCCCUGUGUCUCUGCUCCCAGAAGGCCUUCCAUCCAGCACUGCAAAUGGCAGCAAGCAGGUUCAGCCCAGCCGCGCUCCUGCUCCGGAUUUGGAUGGCAAACUGCAGAAGAGCACAGAGAGCUGCAGGACGGACGGGCCAAGCACAGGCAAAGAGGGCAUCUUCCACCCUGACCCUCCUCUGCAGAAACGUGCAGAGUGUGAUAAACCAUCCGGGAAACGGCAGAAGAAAUCCAAACAUCUGGAAGUGCAGCACAGCAGAAAGAGGUCCUUCCUGAAAAUGGACGACCCCUUUGACUCUGCAAGUAUAUGUGAUGUGGUCACCGUACCAACGAAGGUCGUGAAGCUCUCAUAGUCCACCAUGCACUGCAGCUCCUCGCUGGCCACACGAGGAGUUUCCCUUCAACAGCCACCAGUGCCCCAACAGCUCCUUCAUGCUGUUCAGUAUUAAUGUUUUCACGUGAUUCUUUAGAGUGUUUAAAAUAGAAUAUAUAGUUACUUCAUUAGGUAUAGGUGUUCAAAUUACAUUUUAUCUGUGUUGAAAAUACACUGUUAUAUAAUAAUAUUUCUUUCCUUUAGAUAAGAAAUCAUAUUUGCACGUGUUUUUUU
ensembl:lncRNA